rnacentral:rRNA from 1 species
GGGAAACGGCGUACAGCUCAGUAAUACUGCGAUGAUCUGGUCAGGCGCUACGAUAACCACGGGAAACUGUGGCUAACAGGCCUGGAUGAGACGCGGGUCUAUCAGCUAGUUGGUAGUGUAAUGGACUACCAAGGCGACGACGGAUGACGGGAGAUGGGGGUCUGAUUCCGGAGAGGGAGCCUGAGAGAUAGCUCCCACGUCCAUGGACGGCAGCAGGCGCGGAAAUUGCCCACUCUCUUCGCGGAGGAGGCGGUUAAGAGGCGUGAGCACAAGGACCGACGGCAAAGAAGUCGGUGAACGCGAUUGGAGGGCAAGUUCGGUGCCAGCAGCCGCGGUAAUACCGACUCCAAGAGUGUCUGUGAUUGAUGCUGCAGUUAAAAAGUCCGUAGUCGUGAUGCAGGGGAAGGCCGUGGGUCGAGCACGGCAGGCCUGCAUGCGAUGUGUCCAGCAAUGGAGACAUCAUGGCGGAGCGGGUGGGGGGCGCAGUAUAGGUGGGCGAGAGAUGAAAUGACCAAGACCCCAUCUGGACUGACGGAGGCGAAGGCGGCGCCCCAGCACGCGUCUGAGGAUCAAGGACGAAGGCCGGAGGAUCGAAAGUGAUUAGAGACCGCUGUAGUUCCGGCAGUAAACGAUGUCGACGCCGCGUGGCCUUCCGGGCCGCGUGGGUGGGAAACCUCAAGUGUUCGGACUCUGGGGAUAGUAUGCUCGCAAGGGUGAAAAUUGAAGAAAUUGACGGAGCUACACCACAAGGAGUGGAUUGUGCGGCUUAAUUUGACUCAACGCGGGGAAACUUACCAUCACCAAGCGCCGCAGAGACUGGCCACACGAGCGGCGCGCGAGUAAUGCAUGGUCGUUGGAAACCUGUGGGGUGACCUUUGGCUUAAGUGCCUGAAUGGGUGAGAUCUCCUGGACGGGUGCCUGAGCGGCGCAGGAGGGCGGAGGCGAUAACAGAUCAGUGAUGUUCUCAGAUGCGGUGGGCUGCACGCGCGAUACAGUGUGUGACGCGGACACAGAUGGACUGUCACACCAGGUCGGGACUGGGCUCUGGUACGGGCCCACGAACGAGGAAUUCCUAGUAACUGCGGCUCA